GGCGGCAGGCUUAACACAUGCAAGUCGAACGCCCCUUCGGGGGAGUGGCAGACGGGUGAGUAACGCGUGGGAACAUGCCUUUCGGUUCGGAAUAACUCAGGGAAACUUGAGCUAAUACUGGAUACGCCCUCCGGGGGAAAGAUUUAUCGCCGAAAGAUUGGCCCGCGUCUGAUUAGCUAGUUGGUGAGGUAAUGGCUCACCAAGGCGACGAUCAGUAGCUGGUCUGAGAGGAUGACCAGCCACACUGGGACUGAGACACGGCCCAGACUCCUACGGGAGGCAGCAGUGGGGAAUAUUGGACAAUGGGCGCAAGCCUGAUCCAGCCAUGCCGCGUGAGUGAUGAAGGCCUUAGGGUUGUAAAGCUCUUUUGUCCGGGAAGAUAAUGACUGUACCGGAAGAAUAAGCCCCGGCUAACUUCGUGCCAGCAGCCGCGGUAAUACGAAGGGGGCUAGCGUUGCUCGGAAUUACUGGGCGUAAAGAGCACGUAGGCGGAUUGUUAAGUCCGGGGGUGAAAUCCCCAGGGCUCAACCCUGGAACUGCCUUUCCGAUACUGAUAGUCUUGAGUUCGGAAGAGGUUGGUGGAACUGCNAGUGUAAGGUG
rnacentral:rRNA from 1 species